GGGAAGUCAUGGGACACUCACUGGAUGCAGUGUGCGGAGGCACGGGACACUGGCCUUAGCGUCCGGCGUGCUGUCGGAAUCUGGCCUGGCAAGCAGAGCGCACCGGACGCUCUGCACCAGACACAGGGUGUCUGCUGUGUGCGUGUCCGGUGGUUGUUAGGAUCAGCGUUCAAAUCUAUGAGGUUUUCUGACAAAGCACUGGACGCACCGGAGUGAGUCCGGUGCUGUAACACCCAAAAAUUUGUUUUCAAUCAAUAGGAAUUAAUUUGAUUUAAUUAAGCAUUUUUGGUGAGCAUUUAAUCUAGUGAAUAAAAUAGUUUUGGUCAAAACUAAAAUUUAUUAUAAGUUUAGAAAACAUGGUUGUGCAUUUCAUGCUGGUGCAUAUUUAAUUUUGUAUUGUUUGCCUCUGGUUUGAAUUUAUUUGCACUCAAAAUUUUAUUUGGAAAAGGUUUUUGGAAAGGAAAACAGAAAAGAAAGAAAAAAAAAAGAGAAAAGACCCCCAACCCCUGGAAACCAGCAAGCCCAGCUCCCCCCUCUCACCCCUCGCGCGGCCCAGCUCUCUCUACCCUCGGCCCAAAUUGCGACCCAGCUCAGCUCGGCCCAGCUUGCGGCCCAGUGGCCAUGCCACACGCGCGCGCGCCCUGAUCCCCCUUCCCUCCUUUCUGCGACUGACAACGCGGGCCCGCCUGUCGUGUCCUGUUCUUCUUCCUCGUUCGGAACCGAGCCGGACUCCCAUCGCAGCCGCGUUCGAUCCCGAAAACGACGGGAUUUCCUUGCUUUUUCGCGCAACCGACCCCUAUUUAACCCCCUAGCGUCGCUCGCGUGUUUGUUUUCCGCCCCGACGCGAGUCUUUAGCCCUAGCCGCCUGGUUUCCUCGCCGUCGGGAUCUUGCCGAAAGCUAAAUCCGCCACCGCUCGCCGCGCGCCUCUCUCGCUACUCCUCGGCCCCAGCAAAACACUCCAGCGAGUCCGUGGUGAGCUCCUCUAUCCCGUGGUGUUUUCCUUUCGCGAAACGGUGCUCGGAAUCGAGAAGCCCGUCGUCGCCGGCGAGCUCCUAUGGCCGGUAAUGGAACCACCGCACCGGAGACCGAAGCUAGCCGGCCGCCGCCGCUGUUAACCCCUGGAGAAAUCUCGGCCGUCGGAUGGAGAUCGGAUGGCCAGCAAAUGAAGAUACCCCUUCGUUGGAAAUCUUUCUAAAGAGUCCCUGUGUUAUUUUGCAAAUUAACCCGCGGUCCUUUACGUACUUUCCCGUUUACGCUUUCUCCUGUCAUCUGAGAUCCAAAUACGUUUUCCAGUAUUUACAGAAUUACCACUGAACUUAGAUUGCUUAUAAAAUAUUCAUUUUAACUCCGUUUUUGUCCAUCCAAAUUGCGUUAGGUUCGUAAUUAUAUGCUCUACAUGUUAGAACUAUUUAUUCUCUGUUUUGAAACUUUCUAAUUUCCUGGUACUAUUUAAUUAAUUAUUUCUCUAUAGGAAAUCUUAGAAAAUUCAUAUCUUUCACGUUUUAAUUCCGAUUUUCGUGAACUUUACGUUUGUGUGAUCGUAGCGCUGCGUAGAUUAUUUUCAUAAACUUUUAUAUUUGUUUUACCACUGUUUGGUGUAUUGUUCUAAUUAUAUCUUGUUUGCUUCGUGUAUGAUUGUCUUCAUUGGAUUGCGUGUUGUUGAUUGAUGAUUGGGAUUAGACGGUGAGCCGUACGUUGGUGACCAAGACCAAACUUUUGAGGACCAGCAGGCUCAGGAGAGCUUUGAGCAAGGCAAGUAUAACUUGGGAUCAUCCUUGUUACCUAUUCACUUAAGUACACAUAUAUAUCAUAUGCAUGCUAUCACCUUGUCGACCUUAGCAAAAUCAUAGAUGAUUGUUACCUGUAUUCCUUGCUACCUACUUGAUAUGCAUUUGGUGUAGAUGUGCUAGUGCUUGAUAUAAUCCAUGAUCUUGUAAGAUGAUUAAUAGCUAAGCAAUGAACAUAAAAGAAUGACAAAUAACUGUAUGAGAUCUUGUCUGUACGUGAUCACCCGGGAUAACAGUGCAACCAUGAGGGCUAUAAUGGCUCUGGCUUUAGCUCAGUAUGAAGACCUUUUCUAGCUUGUUAGAGGUUACCCGAAAGGGCGGAGGGGCUGAACCGUUUUGGGUAUAGUGCGAGCCCCUGUCCUUAUGUGUAUAGGCUGCGCGUCAUUGUGCCAUUCGGAAGGGGGGUAUCUAUAUCUGCGCGCAAAGGAAACCUUGCGGCCCUAACAUGUUAGACAAACUUUUGAAAGGCUUCAUAGUGAUCCCUGCCGACCUCCCAAGGAAGGGGGUUAAGAGAUUAGCUACCUCGGGCGAAAGGGUAAAUCAUGACUCAUGGGUAAAGAUGUACAACCUCUGUAGAGUGUAAAACUGGUAUACUAGCCGAGCUCACGGUCAGGAGCGGCCUUGGGGACAUCUACACUAAGAUGAUGAGCUUAUUAUGUUAUUAUGAUCAUUUGAUUAUUGUUUAUGCUAUGAAUUAAUUAUGCUUACACUUGAUCAUGUGAUUAAUGGAUUAUUUAUGCUACCUUGACAAUUGCUAUUUAAUUAUGAACAUGCUAUCCACCAUUAAAAGCUAAAUGCAGUCAAACCCGUGUCAGCUAUUUGAGCCUCAUGAACCCCUGGUUAUACUUGUUGAGUACGAUAUGUGCUCACUCUUGCAAUUUCCCAACACCCCAGGUUAUGAUAAUGAAGAUGACUGGAAUGAGGAUUAUCGUUAUGAGUACUAGGUUUGGAGUCAACCAGUCAGCAGUGUCCCUGUGUGGAGCUUCCGUUGAGAGCGUUGUUUACUUUAUGCUAUCAUUUUUUGUAUGAGACUAUGUGAUUUAUUAUGUUCCGCUAUGUAAUAAACACUGCAAUGGUACAUUUGAGAUUUGUUUACUUAUGUGUGCGACUAUUCCUGGGGCACAUAUGAGUCUUUUAUGCAUCCUAUUUUGUUCUUAAAAUAUGGGUGUGACAAAUUGGUAUCAAAGCUUUGUUGACUGUCGGACUCAAGCCUAGUUAGUAAUUGGCCGUCUUAAGAUUUUGAAAUUGCUACAAAGUCCUUGUUCUAUAAACCUUGAUAUUUUCUUCUACACUAUAUCCUAUUCAUCUUCACCUUGUUGCUUAUUUUAAAGACUAGUUCUCAUCCCCACCCCUUGCUUUGAAUAUGCUUUUAGAACCUUCUCUUACCACCUGCUUACAUAGUUGAAAGAGAAUUCUAGGAUCUUCACCCUUAAUAGGAAGAGAACGUUAGUAACGCAAGUUGAGUCAAUGCUUGAAGUAUGAACUUUUGAUGCUUGGUUUGGUUUGUUAUUAUGCUCAUGCUUGAUUUGGAUUUUUGUAAUGAGUGCUGGAACCUUGUGGGCAUAUCCACAAGUUCCCUAGUUAAGAACAUUAAGUAAGAACAUGAUUAAAUAGUGGUUUGGGGUCAUAUUCUGUUUCUGUCCUUUGCUGUUUUCUGGAGCAGUCUGCAAUGAAUCUGGUACAUCUCAAAAUAUGUUCACGUAAUGUUCAUCAAAUUUUUCUGGGAACAAGUAGACUCUCAUAUCUUUCCAAUGCCUCAAGAAUGAUAAUAUUAUCGGUUAUGAGCUGUGAGAUAUGACUGUUUAAAGUUGAGGUUUCUGCGCAGUCUGGAUUUCUGGAACAGUUUCGGUUGUACACAGAUUUUGAUUAACCUAACGUUGGAAUCUGGUAAUAUGAUCUAAAUGAAAGUUGUAGACAAUUUCUUUAUCUUUCCAACGGUGUACAGCAUGUAUCCUUUUGAAUUCUGAAACUCGAGAUAUGACUGACUUUCUGAUCUGCUGAUGUUGGAUGUUACCUAGAAAAUUUCAGAUUCCGUUAACUCUUGUAAUUGUCAUGUUGGACAUUACUAAGAUGUGUUUAUAUACCUUGGAAUGCAGAUGGCAGCAAGGGGAAGAGGUAGAGGCAGAGGCCGUGGCAAUGGCAAUGGCAAUGGCAAUGGUGGCAAUGCCCCAAUCACCGUGGAGGAACUCAUGCAAACCCAAAAUCAGAUGAUGCACGUUUUCAUGCAGCACCUGCAGCAACAACCUCCACCGACACCACCACCUGUUCAUGUGAGGGACAAGCGUGGAGAGUUUAUGAAGGGAAGACCUCCGGUAUUUACACACUCAGCUGAUCCCAUGGAGGCGGAUGAUUGGUUACGUGUUGUGGAGAGGCAACUAAACAUAGCACAGUGCAAUGACUUGGAGAAGGUGUUGUAUGCUUCUGGACAGCUUCAGGGGCAGCUCAAACAUGGUGGGAGUCAUAUCAAGCUGCUCGUCCCAACAAUGCUCCUCCUGUCACUUGGAUGGAAUUUUGCAGAGAUUUCCGAGCACGACACAUCAAUGAGGGAAUGAUGGAGCUCAAGCAGGAAGAAUUCAGAUCUCUCAGGAUGGGUUCUAUGUCUGUGGCUGAGUAUCAUGACAUGUUUGAGCAGUUGGCUCGCUAUGCUCCCAACGAAGUUAGAGAAGAUGCUGACAAACAACGCCUCUUCAUGAAAGGUCUUUACUAUAAACUUAGGUUGUAGUUGGCUGGAAACACAUAUCCUACCUUCCAGGCUCUGGUAAACCGUGCUAUUGUGUUGGAUAACAUGCGUAAAGGUCAAGAUAAGAAGAGAAGAAUGUGAGCCCAAGGUUCUGGAGGCAACAACCGCCAACGUUUCAAUUCUCAGCAGGGCGAUCAACAGAGGUACCAUGGACUAGUUAGUCAAGGGGAUCGCAACCAACAAUCUCAGCGUAAUCCUAAUCAACAACAGAGUGGACAAUAGACUUCUCGCUCGGGAAAUUCAAAUGCCACCUCUAUGAAGAGAAGUGCUUCCAAUACCCCUACUAGGUGUUUUCGCUGUGGGAAAGAAGGUCAUAUGUCAUAUGAUUGCCCGGAGAGAUUCAAUCAGCAGAACAACAAUCAAAAGUCUAAUUCUCAUGGAGCAAAGGUGAACCAUGUGGCUGCAGAGACAGUACAAGAGGGACCGGAAAUUAUGAUGGGUACGUUCAGUAUCAACUCUAUCCCCGCUACAAUUUUAUUUGAUUCUGGAGCUUCGCAUACAUUCAUAUAGCAAGCAUUUGUUAGAGCUCAUAGCAUUCCACUAGUUGCCAUGAAAACCCAUAUGCUAGUAAACUCACCUGGAGGAACUAUACCAGUUUCGUAUUGUUGCCCCUCAGCAAGUCUUUCAUUAAGGGGGGUAGAUUUCCUGGUUAGUCCCAUGGUUAUGAGAACCUCAGGCAUAGAUGUGAUAUUGGGUUUGGAUUGGAUGAAGAAAUAUGCUACGGAAAUUAAGUGUAAAGAGAAAGUAGUAGUUGUGACAACACCCAAGGGAGAGAGAAUUAGUGUGGAUGUAGCAGUACGAGCUCCACCCACAGCUACAGUGAACCAGCUGGAUGAUGAUAUUCCGGAUCGUGCAAUGAAUAAAUUCCCAGGUGAUUUCUUAGAAAAACUACCAGGUAUGCUACUUGAUUAGGGACAUUGAGCUUGCUAGUGCAAAGGACUUGGUUUUCAGAGGCAGAAGCAACUUGAAAAAGAGAGGAUGUUUGGAGAGGGUCAUAUCCACGGUGGUUUGUUUAUGCACUGCUCAAUCUCGAGGACGAGAUUCUUUUAAGGGGGUAGAGUUUGUAACACCCAAAAAUUUGUUUUCAAUCAAUAGGAAUUAAUUUGAUUUAAUUAAGCAUUUUUGGUGAGCAUUUAAUCUAGUGAAUAAAAUAGUUUUGGUCAAAAUUAAAAUUUAUUAUAAGUUUAGAAAACAUGGUUGUGCAUUUCAUGCUGGUGCAUAUUUAAUUUUGUAUUGUUUGCCUCUGGUUUGAAUUUAUUUGCACUCAAAAUUUUAUUUGGAAAAGGUUUUUGGAAAGGAAAACAGAAAAGAAAGAAAAAAAAAGAGAAAAGACCCCCAACCCCUGGAAACCAGCAAGCCCAGCUCCCCCCUCUCACCACUCGCGCGGCCCAGCUCUCUCUACCCUCGGCCCAAACUGCGACCCAGCUCAGCUCGGCCCAGCUUGCGGCCCAGUGGCCACGCCACACGCGCGCGCGCCCUGAUCCCCCUUCCCUCCUUUCUGUGACUGACAACGCGGGCCUGCCUGUCGGUGUCCUGUUCUUCUUCCUCGUUCGGAAUCGAGCCGGACUCCCAUCGCAGCCGCGUUCGAUCCCGAAAACGACGGGAUUUCCUUGCUUUUUCGCGCAACCGACCCCUAUUUAACCCCCUAGCGUCGCUCGCGUGUUUGUUUUCCGCCCCGACGCGAGUCUUUAGCCCUAGCCGCCUAGUUUCCUUGCCGUCGGGAUCUUGCCGAAAGCUAAAUCCGCCACCGCUCGCCGCGCGCCUCUCUCGCUACUCCUCGGCCCC
rnacentral:lncRNA from 1 species